rnacentral:misc_RNA from 1 species
CUCGCCUCCUCACCCAACGCCAUCAGCGCUGCCCUCCGCUCCAUCCCUGCAGCGCAGACCUCCGCCACCGUCACCGCCCUUCCUCACCGCGCAAUCACCGCCCUUCCCCACGCGCCUCGGUCGCCAUCCGCGGCAUCACCUUCCUUCCCCAUGCGUCGAGGCCGUCAUCCGCGCCAUCACCUUCCUUCCCCACACGCGCGCCCCCUCCUCCGACGUCGCCAAAUUCCAUCCAUCUCUCAGCGCCGUGGUCUCCCGAUGUGGAUGGGGGAAGGAGGAAUUAACCGAGAGCUUGCUGCCGCAAAGAAGAUUUCUCACAUCUGAGAUCGGGAGAAGAAAGCAUUUUCAAGGAGAAUAGCCGAUCUGUUGAUGUGCUUGGCCUUAAGACUGCUUUUGCAACCUUCAUGGGUUCCAGAGAAGAAAGCGAGGGAAUGGUGCGCCUCCAAGGGCGAUAUUCCAUACUUCGAGACCUCUGCGAAGGAGGACCACAACGUCGACACUGCUUUCCUAUGCAUCGCUAGGCUCGCUUUGGAGCAUGAGCAUGACCAAGACAUUUACUUCAAGACAGUUGUGGAACAAGUCCCGGACACUGAACAGACAAGCGGAUGUGCUUGCUAGGAGCCAGCCAUUUCCUGGAAGGCUGGAACUACGUGGAUGUUACUGAAGGACUGGCCCCCGAUAUGUUUCCCUCCCAUUUUUUCUUUUGAGCUCCAGUAACUUUAUUACUAUUCUGUGUUGCUCUCACUGGAUUUUAGCACUUCUGUAAGUUGUCAUCUUUUAAAGUUAAGAAUUUUUACAUAAGUCUUACACAUCGAACAAAUCCACCAUGUACAUUAAGAUGCAAUGCUUAUCGAACACUCAAGUAUUAUGCUCUUGUAACCUAAAUUAAUCAAAAUUGGGCAAUGAUCAGC